UACGUAGGCAGCAAGCGUUGUUCGGAGUUACUGGGCGUAAAGGGUGUGUAGGCGGUUCUCUAAGUCUGGUGUGAAAUCUCCCGGCUCAACUGGGAGGGUGCGCCGAAAACUGGAGGACUAGAGUGCGGGAUGGGAGAGUGGAAUUCCUGGUGUAGCGGUGAAAUGCGUAGAUAUCGGGAAGAACACCCGUGGCGAAGGCGGUUCUCUGGGACGGUACUGACGCUGAGACGCGAAAGCGUGGGGAGCGAACAGG
rnacentral:rRNA from 1 species